UGGGGAAUUUUGGACAAUGGGCGAAAGCCUGAUCCAGCAAUGCCGCGUGUGUGAAGAAGGCCUUCGGGUUGUAAAGCACUUUUGUCCGGAAAGAAAUCCUCUGGGUUAAUACCUCGGGGGGAUGACGGUACCGGAAGAAUAAGCACCGGCUAACUACGUGCCAGCAGCCGCGGUAAUACGUAGGGUGCAAGCGUUAAUCGGAAUUACUGGGCGUAAAGCGUGCGCAGGCGGUUUUGUAAGACGGAUGUGAAAUCCCCGGGCUUAACCCGGGAACUGCAUUCGUGACUGCAAGGCUAGAGUAUGGCAGAGGGGGGUAGAAUUCCACGUGUAGCAGUGAAAUGCGUAGAGAUGUGGAGGAAUACCGAUGGCGAAGGCAGCCCCCUGGGCCAAUACUGACGCUCAUGCACGAAAGCGUGGGGAGCAAACAGGAUUAGAUACCCUGGUAGUCCACGCCCUAAACGAUGUCAACUAGUUGUUGGGGAUUCAUUUCCUUAGUAACGUAGCUAACGCGUGAAGUUGACCGCCUGGGGAGUACGGUCGCAAGAUUAAAACUCAAAUGAAUUGACGGGGUCAUAGCUGUUUCC
rnacentral:rRNA from 1 species